AGAAACACUGAGACUGGUAUGAAUGGGCAUGAAAGGUACCAGAGGAUGUGGCAGCAGGAUAGGAGUGGCAGGCAUUGGUGACAGCUAGGCUAGAAGGUUAUCUAGAUCACAGCACACCUUACAGCUUCCCAAAACACCCAGACUGGGAAACCAAAGGUCAGCUUCAAGCAAACAACAGACCGAAGCCAUUGAGAGAUGGAAAGAUAAAGGACAAUCCUGAAGUCAUUGAAGAAAUCCAGUCAUUCCUCACAUAUCUGUCAACUGGCCAGAUAUUGCAGGAGAAGCAGAAAGUGACCAAUGAGCUGGAGAGGACUGCAAACUUCCAGGCGGACAGCUGAGAUCUCUUAUGGACAUUCCUUGCAUUUGUUGCACUGGUGGGCUAGCCACAUGAUUAACAAGAAACAAGGCCACAUGAGUGAAAGUGAGCAAACACUGUGCUCAUAUUAUUAAAAGGAGAAUUGUAUUGUUUUUCCUAUUAACUUUACCAGGGAGAUAGAUGUCCUUUCACAUUUAGGAAAUAGAAGAGAGACUUAGUGUUCUCCUGCUGAAUAAACAGUAAAUACGCUCUGGCUGUCUGAUCCAACAGCUACACCUGUCCAAGCAGGAAAUGUCAAAUUCCAUAUCACUAAUGAAAUCUGGAUUCCGCAUAUUUGCAACCAUGAGUAGGAUAUUUGCAGAAAUAACUGCGAGUAAAAUUUGUCCCCAUGUAUGCUGGUCUUCCCAGCUUGUACAGAUUCAUUGCUUGAGGCCUAAUAUCGAUUGAGGAGUGUAAUUUUGCAUGGACCAGCUGGAAGGAGGUAUAAACUGCCCACAGACAAUCUUUGCAGAGGAGAAGAUAACCAGCUACAAGCCCAGGACUGUGGGAUGCAGGCAACAGAAACAAGUUGGUUGUGGCUUAGCACAGUUUCAACAAGCACACAGACCUGGCCACAGCCUCUCCAGGGUGUCUCACAACAUAGGAUCCCAUCAGAGUUCAGGGAGGGGAAAGAAUACACUUUCUGAGAAGAUUACCUUUUGGUUUUUUAGGCCCUUUCCAUGUCCAUUUGCUGAUAUCCACUGUGGUUUUUUAAUGAAUAAUUCAGAGACUACUGCUUUUAGGACAAUACGUAUGUGUCAAACUAUUUAAGCUGUGGUUCUGCUUUUCUGUUCUGUGCUGCCCGGUUUCUGACUCCACCUUCCCUCCCUGCCCAGCCUACUCAGUAGACAAUGUUUUUCCAUUUAAUUUCGUGAGACAAACGCAAGGCGUUCUCAUCCCUUCCCCCAUGCCUGGAGAAGAACAGCCCACAUCUGGAGGCCAUUCACGGCUGGAAGAUCUUUUCUGACAUUCCUUGCUUUGAAAUCUAACCCAUGUAACCUUCCGUCUAAAUACUCUGUGCAUGGCAGAAAGGGGCUUUGUGAAGGGAAUCAGUGAAGCAGCCCGUGACCCCUACAUCCUUCUGCAAGUGCCAGACCUCAAGACUGCAGAAAAUUUUCCCCACAAUGCAAUUGUUAUUUGGUUUAGGACUUUGUGGCUUUAUGUUCUCCAAAUGCCUGCUUUGAAAGCAAUUUGUAAAGUAACCUAAAGCUCAGAGGACUUUAUUUUUCUGCGAUGUUAAACAUGCACAGCAACAGUUACAUUAAUAUGUCUGAAGAACUUUGUAGGUUCCAAGAUCCACAACCAGCUCUCCAGCUGGUGGCCUAUGGGCUGCAUUUUGUCUGUAGAGCAGUUUGCUCAGCUUCCGACUGACUUUUCCACAACUGAAGAAUAAAACAUCAGGUUUUUCACAUCACCCUACCCAGUUAGAGCAAAUCCCUGCAAUAUAAUCUGACCCCUGCUCACCAGGAAGGUAGAUAAUUUGCAAUUACAUUUUAAAUGCCUUGGAAUGGAGACUUACUUGUUAUCUCUGCAUGUGCUUAGCCUGUCUAUACUAUUGUCUUUGACUGCAAUACUGAGUGCUUUACAGUGCUAGUAACCACACUCAUCAUUGUCAUAAACGCCUUUGUCAUGACUAAUAGGACAAAGAUCAAUGAGCUGCUGGCCUAGCCUAUAAGGGCUGGCACAGGUGUGCCUUUUGAAAAAAAGAAGAAGAAGAAGAGGAAGAAGAAGAAGAGGGGAAAAGGUGUCCUGUUUGCUUCCCAACAUUAUGCUGUCUGCUUUUAUGCUCUGAUAAUGUCAGUUGCUCCCUGCACCCAGUAACACAGCCCACUUCUGUGGGUACUCAUUCUUCUGGCUGUGUGACAGCCUCAGCAGAUUCACAGUACUGGGCCUCUGGGGCCCAGGUUAUGUGCAGCUACCUUAACUUUCAGCCUCACUGAGGUUUUGUUGUACUCUCAUUGCAUGCCAGCUUUCCUGGAAGCAUCCUUCUCAGUGUUGCUUCUUGUGCUGCAGACCUGAGCAGACUAGCAAGGCUAUACUAAUCUGGAAAAUGUUCUUGGUUGGCUGUUGAACUUCUAAAGUAAGUGAGCCUUAAGAGAUACAUAUGUAGGUGCAUGCACUUGACAGGUGGAGGAGUAUAUUAUAAAAGAGUUUAUACUGAUUUUCCUGUUCUCAACCCCUGAGAUAUUAAACGUAUACCUUCACCUCU
rnacentral:lncRNA from 7 species